rnacentral:rRNA from 1 species
UAAUAAGCUAUUAAGGGCUAAUGGUGGAUGCCUAGACUGUAAGAGGCGAUGAAAGACGUAUUAGGCUGCGAUAAGCCUCGGGGAGCUGCCAAAGAGCUUUGAUCCGGGGAUUUCUGAAUGGGGCAACCCAAUAUAAUGAGAAUUAUAUUACCCUACGGGGAGCGAACCUAGUGAAGUGAAACAUCUCAGUAGCUAGAGGAAGAGAAAUCAAACGAGAUUCCCAAAGUAGCGGCGAGCGAAAUGGGAUUAGGACAAACCCAAUGCUUGCAUUGGGGGUUGUAGGACCAUGAUAUGAGACUAAAGAGGAUAGAUGAAAUACUUGGAAAAGUGUAGCAUAGAAGGUGAAACUCCUGUAAUUAAAAUUCUCAAUAGCUCUAAUGGUAUCCUGAGUAGGUCGGAACACGUGAUAUUUUGACUGAAGCCGGGGGGACCACCCUCCAAUCCUAAAUACUACUUACAGAUCGAUAGUGAACAAGUACCGUGAGGGAAAGGUGAAAAGUACUCCAGCGAGGAGAGUGAAAUAGAACCUGAAACCAUUAGCUUACAAUCAUUCAGAGCCCUAUGAUUUAUCAGGGUGAUGGACUGCCUUUUGCAUAAUGAGCCUGCGAGUUGUGGUAUCUGGCAAGGUUAAGUCAAGUACGAAGCCGUAGCGAAAGCGAGUCUUAAUAGGGCGAAUUAGUCAGAUGCUGCAGACCCGAAACGAAGUGAUCUA